rnacentral:rRNA from 1 species
GACGAACGCUGGCGGCGUGCCUAACACAUGCAAGUCGAACGAAGCACUGUAAGUUGAGACUUCGGUUGAUUCUUACUUUGACUUAGUGGCGGACGGGUGAGUAAUGCGUGAGCAACCUGCCUCGGAGUGGGGGACAACAGUUGGAAACGACUGCUAAUACCGCAUGAUGUAUUCGGGGGGCAUCCUCUGAAUACCAAAGAUUUAUUGCUCUGAGAUGGGCUCACGUCUGAUUAGUUAGUUGGUGAGGUAACGGCUCACCAAGACUGCGAUCAGUAGCCGGACUGAGAGGUUGAACGGCCACAUUGGGACUGAGAUACGGCCCAG